GGGUAGCGUGGUUCCAGAGAGUACCAUCUUUGAGGCUCGGGUAGGUAGGAAAUACUUGUUAGGGUGAAAACAAGAAAUCACAAAUCGCCAAAGUCGAGAUCCUGACGCUCUACUAAAUCAGUACACACUCAGUGGACAAAUAGUAUAAGAAAUUAGCUAUCAAAAUCUAUAUUCUUAUAUAGGUGAAUUGGCUUGGCCCCCUGAAAACAGGUUAUAAACGAGUGAUCUUUACGCUAUACCGACUAAGUAGAGGAAACUCCAUCUCUCUUCUUAUUAAGGAGAAAGUUGAGAAAGAGAAAAGCUAAUCGGUGAGGGCAAGAAUUCAACCAAAACCACUUUUCCUGGCGCUGUUGCUAUUCAACCAAAACCACUUUUCCUGGCGCUGUUGCUAAUGGGGAUCCACCUUGUUCCGAUAUACCGCUCCACCAGAUAGAUUGCAAGUCAUAGGCAUGAUAUUCUGAGUCUCUUAUACUAGAUGAAGGUUUCCAGUCAUAGGUGCCUAUAGAGUUAGUUCGGGCCCUUAUUGGUUGUUUGCCAGUUCAAGACAGUUCCUGGUCGAGAUAGAGUUGAAGACAGGUAGUACAGCUUCAUCUGUUUUAGUUGCCCUUAUUGUAAGUUGCAGAGGGAUAUCCUUAGUUAGCUGAGCCGGGAGUUCUGGUUUCAUCCCCUUUAAGCAGUAGUCCUGUUCGAGUGGAAUACUGAGUUUAGUCUUCUGUUUACAAGUAUUGUAGUAGUCCUUAAUCCCCAAUAAGUAGUAUAGUAGUAGAAUCAGUAUGAGUAGCCCGGUAGUAGAAUCAGUAUGAGUAGCCCGAGUUAGAUUUUAGUCCAGUCCAGUAGUAUACGCUUGUCUCGGUUGCCUUUUUAGUCGUUACUUGGCGGUAUUAAACUCAUUCCCCUAGUAGUUUCAGAAGAAAGUAAUAAAGGCUUUGUUGCGGGAAGGGAGUAGAGCUGCUUGGCUUGUUCCAUUACUUGCUUGUUAGGGUGUGCCGGGUAGUUGUUGAAGUCAGUUACUAGACCACUGAUUGCCCGAAG
rnacentral:lncRNA from 1 species